rnacentral:rRNA from 1 species
UACGUAGGGUGCGAGCGUUGUCCGGAAUUAUUGGGCGUAAAGAGCUCGUAGGCGGUUUGUCGCGUCGGCCGUGAAAACUUGGGGCUUAACCCCGAGCCUGCGGUCGAUACGGGCAGACUUGAGUUCGGCAGGGGAGACUGGAAUUCCUGGUGUAGCGGUGAAAUGCGCAGAUAUCGGAAGGAACAUCAGUGGCGAAGGCGACUUCCUGGACCAAUACUGACGCUCAGGUGCGAAAGCGUGGGGAGCAAACAGG